CCUACGGGUGGCAGCAGUGGGGAAUAUUGCGCAAUGGGCGAAAGCCUGACGCAGCGACGCCGCGUGAGGGAUGAAGGUCUUCGGAUCGUAAACCUCUGUCAGCAGGGAAGAACGGUCACUGUGCUAAUCAGCAGUGAAUUGACGGUACCUGCAAAGGAAGCACCGGCUAACUCCGUGCCAGCAGCCGCGGUAAUACGGAGGGUGCGAGCGUUAAUCGGAAUUACUGGGCGUAAAGCGCUCGUAGGCGGUAUGUCAAGUCAAGGGUGAAAUCCCCGCGCUCAACGGGGGAACUGCCUUUGAAACUGGCAAACUGGAGUGUGUGAGAGGAUAGUGGAAUUCCAGGUGUAGGAGUGAAAUGCGUAGAUAUCUGGAGGAACAUCAGUGGCGAAGGCGACUAUCUGGCACAUAACUGACGCUGAGGAGCGAAAGCGUGGGUAGCAAACAGGAUUAGAUACCCGGGUAGUC
rnacentral:rRNA from 1 species